GCGGGGAUAGCUCAGCUGGGAGAGCGUCAGACUGAAGUCAAAACUUCGGGAUUCCUUGAAUAAUCUGAAGGUCGUGCGUUCGAUCCGCACUCACCGCA